AACGAACGCUGGCGGCAUGCCUAACACAUGCAAGUCGAACGAGACCUUCGGGUCUAGUGGCGCACGGGUGCGUAGCGCGUGGGAACCUGCCCUUAGGUUCGGAAUAACUCCCCGAAAGGGGUGCUAAUACCGGAUAAUGUCUUCGGACCAAAGAUUUAUCGCCUUUGGAUGGGCCCGCGUUGGAUUAGCUAGUUGGUAGGGUAAAAGCCUACCAAGGCGACGAUCCAUAGCUGGUCUGAGAGGAUGAUCAGCCACACUGGGACUGAGACACGGCCCAGACUCCUACGGGAAGCAGCAGUGGGAAAUAUUGGACAAUGGGCGAAAGCCUGAUCCAGCAAUGCCGCGUGAGUGAUGAAGGCCUUAGGGUUGUAAAGCUCUUUUACCCGGGAUGAUAAUGACAGUACCGGGAGAAUAAGCUCCGGCUAACUCCGUG
rnacentral:rRNA from 1 species